rnacentral:rRNA from 1 species
CUUUGGGAUAACCCUCGGAAACGGGGGCUAAUACCGAAUAGGACUUCUGGCCGCAUGGCUGGUGGUGGAAAGUUUUUCGGCUUGGGAUGGGCUCGCGGCCUAUCAGCUUGUUGGUGGGGUGAUGGCCUACCAAGGCGACGACGGGUAGCCGGCCUGAGAGGGCGACCGGCCACACUGGAACUGAGACACGGCCCAGACUCCUACGGGAGGCAGCAGUGGGGAAUAUUGCACAAUGGGCGGAAGCCUGACGCAGCGACGCCGCGUGAGGGAUGACGGCCUUCGGGUUGUAAACCUCUUUCAGCAGGGACGAAGCGAGAGUGACGGUACCUGCAGAAGAAGCGCCGGCCAACUACGUGCCAGCAGCCGCGGUAAGACGUAGGGCGCGAGCGUUGUCCGGAUUUAUUGGGCGUAAAGAGCUCGUAGGCGGCUUGUCGCGUCGACCGUGAAAACUUGGGGCUCAACCCCAAGCCUGCGGUCGAUACGGGCAGGCUAGAGUUCGGUAGGGGAGACUGGAAUUCCUGGUGUAGCGGUGAAAUGCGCAGAUAUCAGGAGGAACACCGGUGGCGAAGGCGGGCCUCUGGGCCGAUACUGACGCUGAGGAGCGAAAGCGUGGGGAGCGAACAGGAUUAGAUACCCUGGUAGUCCACGCUGUAAACGUUGGGCGC